rnacentral:ncRNA from 1 species
CGCUGUUGCUCGAAGAGCUGCCGCAUCGCCUGGAGCUCCCGCAUCCUCUUUUGUUCCCUACGUUGGAACAACGCCUCGAGGCUGUCGGAAUCUUUCCAAGUCGGGCAUGGCGGUUGCUGACGCUGCGGCAUCCCCUGUUUCGCCUGGUGCGGCUGUUGCUGCCGCUGCUGCUGCUGCUGCUACUUCUCCUUCUUCUGCUGCUGCUGCUGCUGCUGCUCCUUCUGCCGCUGCUGAUGCUGAAGCUCAAGCUCCUGUCGCUUCGCAUCUCGCAUUUCCGGCGUGAGAGCAGGCCCUGGUUUAUUCGCCUUGUUGGAAUUCACUUUGUCGGAUGUCGCCUUGUCGGAACUCGCCUGCCCGAUAGUUCGUACGAAAUUAAGCAGUUCCGCCAAGGGAUAACUUGUCUUUUUUUUGUUAACCCAGGGACAAAUGCACUUACGCACAUUGUGGGCCGCCUUUGGCGGACACGGACUCCACCGGCAGUUCCCGGAAGAGACUCCUCCAGGAAGGACUUCAUAAGAUGCAGACCGCGACUGCCUGACUUACACUUAUGGGUACUCCCUAAAAACCCUGGCAUAGUCAUAGUCCCCACCUCCCUUAUGACAGCCUCGCGGCAUGUUGUCAGAAGAUGAGAGAAGAUCUCGCCUGUCGCGGUGACGGCUGGUUCGGCGGAAGCUGCUGGUUGGACUGCUGCUCUGCAAGUCUUGCUUCACGUCGCCGAGCUCGCCAUUGGCGAGAAUAGUCUCGGUGGUAUUGAGCAUUCUCUUCGGCCCGUGCCUGCGACUGUGGGGAGACGGGAGGGGCAGGUGGCAGGCUUUGAGUCAUGGCUUCCCUCUGCUCUCUUCUCCUCUGUCUCCGCGCCGCAUUGCGCCGAUCGUUGCGUGCUCUAACAACGACUGCACGGGUCUCUUCGAUCGCCUGCGGUAUUUCCUGCAAGGGCUAACUUGCUUGUGGCCGCCAAGCGUUCAUAGCAACGUGGCUUUUUGAUCCUUCGAUGUCGGCUCUUCCUAUCAUUGCGAAGCAAAAUUCACAAAGCGUAGGAUUGUUCACCCUUUCAAGGCAACGUGAGCUGGGUUUAGACCGUCAUGAUACAGGUUAGUUUUACCCUACUGGUGUGCAAGUGCAUGGAAUGGAAUUUCUGUGCAGUACGAGAGGAACCACAGAUACGGUCCAAUGGCUCAAUACUAGUCCGAGCGGACUUUGGUAUGACGCUACGUCCGUCUGAUUAUGCCUGAACGCCUCUAAGGUCGUAACAGAACCAAGCUGGUAGCAUAUAAAUAGGUGUUGGUAAAUAGUUGGCUCAUAACCCCGUGAGUUACGGUAGUGUACAAUCGUCUCUAUCGUAUUAUUGGAAUACCCUCAAUCUGAGCCUCGAAGUGAGUUCACCCACCAUAGUACCUGAACUGGGAAGUGGUGGUGAAAGCGCUGACCUUCUAUAAAUAUUUUCAACACCUAAGACCAUCCGAAAACGACGGAACUACAGGCUGGGAGCUACGCAUUGAAGAGAGAUGUACAUUUCGAUCCUGUCAGGCUACCCUUGCUUGGCGGUUGAG